rnacentral:rRNA from 1 species
CUGAGAGUUUGAUCCUGGCUCAGAACGAACGCUGGCGGCAUGCCUAACACAUGCAAGUCGAACGAGACCUUCGGGUCUAGUGGCGCACGGGUGCGUAACGCGUGGGAAUCUGCCCUUGGGUUCGGAAUAACAGUUAGAAAUGACUGCUAAUACCGGAUGAUGACUUCGGUCCAAAGAUUUAUCGCCCAGGGAUGAGCCCGCGUAGGAUUAGCUAGUUG